UCAUUUGAAAGUAUUAAGUAUAUUAAAAUUGGAACGAUACAGAGAAGAUUAGCAUGCCCCCUGCGCAAGGAUGACACGCAAAUUCGUGACAGAGACCCCACGGCG